CUACGUGCCAGCAGCCGCGGUAAUACGGAAGGUCCAGGCGUUAUCCGGAUUUAUUGGGUUUAAAGGGAGUGUAGGCGGUUUGUUAAGCGUGUUGUGAAAUUUAGAUGCUCAACAUUUAACUUGCAGCGCGAACUGUCAGACUUGAGUACACGCAACGUAUGCGGAAUUCAUGGUGUAGCGGUGAAAUGCUUAGAUAUCAUGAAGAACUCCGAUUGCGAAGGCAGCAUACGGGAGUGUAACUGACGCUUAAGCUCGAAGGUGCGGGUAUCGAACAGGAUUAGAUACCCUGGUAGUCCGCACAGUAAACGAUGGAUGCCCGCUGUUAGCGCCUGGCGUUAGCGGCUAAGCGAAAGCAUUAAGCAUCCCACCUGGGGAGUACGCCGGCAACGGUGAAACUCAAAGGAAUUGACGGGGGCCCGCACAAGCGGAGGAACAUGUGGUUUAAUUCGAUGAUACGCGAGGAACCUUACCCGGGCUUGAAUUGCAGAGGAAGGAUUUAGAGAUA
rnacentral:rRNA from 1 species